UCCUUUUAAUGAAUAAGUUAUCUUUUGCUUAAUUAACAUUUAUAAUUCUUUAUGGUGGUCAAAUCUUGCAUCUCAUUUCCCUAUCGUCCAUUCUCUCUCCUCCUCCUCCUCCUCCUCCUCCUCCUCCUCUCUGUCUAUCUUCAUCCCUUCCUUCCUUUUAAUGAAUAAGUUAUCUUUUGCUUAAUUAACGUUUAUAAUUCUUUAUGGUGGUCAAAUCUUGCAUCUCAUUUCCCUAUCAUCCAUUCUCUCUCCUCCUCCUCCUCCUCCUCCUCUCUAUAUAUAUAUCUUCAUCCCUUCCUUCCUUUUAAUUAAUGUCUAAGUUAUCCUUUGAGUGACGUUCUUUCUGGUGGUCAAAUCUUGCAUCCUAUUUCCUAUCGUCCAUUCUCUCUCUUCCUCCUUCUCCUCCUCCUCUGGCUAUCUUCAUCCCUUCCUUCCUUUUAAGUAAUGUCUAAGUUAUCUAUCGCUCAAGGUUCCUUCCAGUGUGUUUGUGGUGCCCGGCUCUGCUUGCUAGUUUGUUUUGUCACUGUAUAAUUGUCAAUCCUAGUUUUUGUCAUUGUAUAAUUGUCAAUCCUAGUUUUUGUCACUAUAAUUGUGAGUCCUAGUUUGCUUUGUCACUGUAUAAUUGUGAGUCCUAGCUAGUUUUGUCACUGUAUAAUUGUGAGUCCUAGUUUGUUUUGUCACUGUAUAAUUGUCAGUCCUAGUUUGCUUUGUCCUUGUAUAAUUGUCAGUCCUAGUUUGCUUUGUCCCUGUAUAAUGGUCGGUCCCAGCCAGGCGCCUCUUCCAUGUAAAGAUCUCGGCAGCUUCAAGCCUUGCCGAUAUCUCAAUCCGUACGUGAAUGUAAAUUAACCGAAAUCCUUGUUACUAAGCCCUGCACGGUGCUCUCUCACAUAAUGCUUCUUUAAAUUUUCAGUCUCACUUAAUUUCCGGGGUUAGUAAUAUAUUUUGCCAUAAGUUAACUCCCCGUGAUGGCCAGUGUCAUGUACUAUAUAUAAGUAAUUUGCCUUUUGCAUGGCUAUAAUUCUGCAUCCAUGUCUAAGGCCCAGUUUCACAGUUCCUCAUGAUGGGUUAGUAAGCUCCGAAACCAAUACCAGAGCCUUCGAAAUUUCCUUGUACGGUGUCUGGAGUUUAUAUUCAAGUUCACAAAUUUGACGAGACUAUACAGGAAAGGUCUUGUGUGUUUAUGGUACGAAGGAAAGGGAGGAGAAGGGAGAUGAGAUUGGGAGACGAGUGAGCUGAGAUCCUGUUUAUAUUCAAGCUCACAAAUUUGACGAGACUAUACAGGAAAGGUCUUAUAUUGUCAUGAUACGAAGGAAAGGGAGGAGAAGGGAGAUGAGAUUAGGAGACGAGUGAGCCGAGAUCCCGUUUAUAUUCAAGUUCACAAAUUUGACAAGACUAUACAGGAAAAGCUGUGUUUAUGAUAUGAAGGAAAGGGAAGAGAAGGGAGAUGAGUAAGCUGAGAUCCUGUUUAUAUUCAAGUCCACAAAUUUGACGACACAGUACAGGAAAAGCUCUUUGUAUUUAGUGUGUCAUCGAAGACCGCGCCAUUUUGAACAGUAUGGGAUUCUAUAGCUUGGUUCGGGAGUGUUACAAAGACCAUGAUGGACUGUGGAAGCGGCCCUUAAUGUUCCCUUUUCUAAUAUGCCUCUCUGUUUUUGCAGGAUGCCGCGGACGGACCAUGCAGAGGACUCAUCGCGACGACACCAACGGUUUGGUUAAGUGGGUUCUUUUGUGUGUGCGUCUGUGUGUGAAUGGCAGGCCUGUCGUAUGAUUGUGUGUGUGUGUGCGUUGGCGUUAUGCCUUCGCACUAUUAUUUUGUUAGGAUGUAUUUUUUUGUGUGUGAACUUUUUGCACGUAAUCUUUUUUUAUACCCAUAGCUAGCGUUUGUUUGUGUGGCAGUGUUCCGGGAGAUGGACGCCGGGGGACAUGGGCUUGGGGAGGCGCACAUGACCUCCUCUGUCCGUGACCUCUUCAGCUGGGGAGACCGUGUGUUGCCCCGCCUGGAGAGACACGUUGAUGGAGGUGGCCGUGUGUGUCACCCUUUGCCUGUAUCCUCUGGCGUCCAGAGGCGCGUAAGUGGAGAGCAUCGGCGCAGCGCGGGAGCAGCACGUCAGGGUGUAGGGUGUUUGUUUAGCUGGUGUAGGGUGUUAGGGUGUUAGGUGUAACAACGGUUGGCUCUUUCACAGAACGGGUGUGAUUCCGUUCUGCGUUUGAGUCUUCCACCUUCAGACGGUCUCCCUCCGAGAUGUCUGAAGUUUUUUUUGUCGGUUUUCUCCGUAGGAGGAAGCCGACUCUAGCUACUCUGGCCUCUCUUCCGGGGG